UACGUAGGGUGCGAGCGUUAAUCGGAAUUACUGGGCGUAAAGCGUGCGCAGGCGGUUGUGUAAGACAGAUGUGAAAUCCCCGGGCUCAACCUGGGAACUGCGUUUGUGACUGCACAACUAGAGUACGGCAGAGGGAGGUGGAAUUCCGCGUGUAGCAGUGAAAUGCGUAGAGAUGCGGAGGAACACCGAUGGCGAAGGCAGCCUCCUGGGCCAGUACUGACGCUCAUGCACGAAAGCGUGGGGAGCAAACAGGAUUAGAUACCCUGGUAGUCCACGCCCUAAACGAUGUCAACUAGUUGUUCGGUGAGGAGACUCAUUGAGUAACGCAGCUAACGCGUGAAGUUGACCGCCUGGGGAGUACGGCCGCAAGGUUAAA
rnacentral:rRNA from 1 species